CGGCUCAGUAACGCGUAGUCAACCUAACCUAUGGACGGGAAUAACCUCGGGAAACUGAGAAUAAUGCCCGAUAGAACACUAUACCUGGAAUGGUUUGUGUUCCAAAUGAUUUAUCGCCGUAGGAUGGGACUGCGGCCUAUCAGUUUGUUGGUGAGGUAAUGGCCCACCAAGACUAUUACAGGUACGGGCUCUGAGAGGAGUAGCCCGGAGAUGGGUACUGAGACACGGACCCAGGCCCUAUGGGGCGCAGCAGGCGAGAAAACUUUGCAAUGUGCGAAAGCACGACAAGGUUAAUCCGAGUGGUUUCUGCUAAAGGAACCUUUUGUCGGUCCUAGAAACACCGAUGAAUAAGGGGUGGGCAAGUUCUGGUGUCAGCCGCCGCGGUAAAACCAGCACCUCAAGUGGUCAGGAUGAUUAUUGGGCCUAAAGCAUCCGUAGCCGGCUCUGUAAGUUUUCGGUUAAAUCUGUACGCUCAACGUACAGGCUGCCGGGAAUACUGCAGAGCUAGGGAGUGGGAGAGGUAGACGGUACUCGGUAGGAAGGGGUAAAAUCCUUUGAUCUAUUGAUGACCACCUGUGGCGAAGGCGGUCUACCAGAACACGUCCGACGGUGAGGGAUGAAAGCUGGGGGAGCAAACCGGAUUAGAUACCCGGGUAGUCCCAGCUGUAAACUAUGCAAACUCAGUGAUGCAUUGACUUGUGGUCAAUGCAGUGCUGCAGGGAAGCCGUUAAGUUUGCCGCCUGGGAAGUACGUACGCAAGUAUGAAACUUAAAGGAAUUGGCGGGGGAGCACCACAAGGGGUGAAGCCUGCGGUUCAAUUGGAGUCAACGCCGGA
rnacentral:rRNA from 1 species